rnacentral:rRNA from 1 species
AUUGAACGCUGGCGGCAGGCCUAACACAUGCAAGUCGGGCGGAUGAAGGGAGCUUGCUCCUGGAUUCAGCGGCGGACGGGUGAGUAAUGCCUAGGAAUCUGCCUGGUAGUGGGGGAUAACGUCCGGAAACGGGCGCUAAUACCGCAUACGUCCUGAGGGAGAAAGUGGGGGAUCUUCGGACCCCACGCUAUCAGAUGAGCCUAGGUCGGAUUAGCUAGUUGGUGGGGUAAAGGCCUACCAAGGCGACGAUCCGUAACUGGUCUGAGAGGAUGAUCAGUCACACUGGAACUGAGACACGGUCCAGACUCCUACGGGAGGCAGCAGUGGGGAAUAUUGGACAAUGGGCGAAAGCCUGAUCCAGCCAUGCCGCGUGUGUGAAGAAGGUCUUCGGAUUGUAAAGCACUUUAAGUUGGGAGGAAGGGCAGUAAGUUAAUACCUUGCUGUUUUGACGUUACCAACAGAAUAAGCACCGGCUAACUUCGUG